GUUGUGAACACAAGUAAUCAGAAUCCAUCUUGUUCAAAGGAGGAUAAGAUGCUUCAUCUGUAAAAUUUUGAUCAUCCCGGAAUGAUGCUGGUUAGCUCACCUUUGACUGGAAAUAAUUACCUAACAUGGAGCAGAUCCAUGAUAAUUGCAUUAAAAGCAAAGGAAAAAUUGGGUUUUAUAAACGGCAAAUACAAUAUGCCAGAUCCAAAUUUAGAAAAUUAUAAGGAAUGCCAGAAGGUAGACAAUAUGGUAAUUUCUUGGAUUUUACAUGCACUUUCU
rnacentral:misc_RNA from 1 species